UUUGGGGCAUAUUCCAUAUGCUGUUGUCAGGAAACUUGCUGGGAAAUGCAAUAGGGGCUAUGCUUGUACACGAUUGUCCCAUAUUAAUAAUAUUUCUUGGUGCUUAAAGAAAAAAAUCUACUGAUUCUUUGGUGUGGGUUGAUUUUGAUGUGUGGUUUUUACUUUGUUCGCUUUUUUAUUUUAUUGUAGUUGUAGCAGCCAUAACAGUGUUGGUGAGGAGGAAAGAGAAAAGGAGGAGAUAGAGGGGGCAGUGUUGUCACGGGGAUGAGGUAGAUGGAGGGAUAAAUUUGGAAACUUGGAGAAAAGGAGAAGAAAAAAUCACAAACACUGGAUAUAGAAAACUCAUAAAUCUAACGGGCAAUAUUUCUUUCCCACAACGGUGGAUAUAUGUUGUUCAGAAUGAAAGUUACAUUUCGCAGUUUAAACAUUUGCUUUGAGUUCCGUAGUUUACAACUACAACAAGUGAGUGAUAUGGAUUCUUCUGAUCACUCUUACCCAUCAAAUAACCAGCAGUCAGAUUCUUGGUGGGAGGGCAAUCCUUCUGCCAAAAACAAAAAGUGUUUGAUUCCAUAUUCCACUAGAAUUUGGGGGAUUCGUGCUAGGUUAAGAUCAGCAAGCAAGGUUAUUGGAACUAGAAGAAACAUCUGUGAAGACUUACUACCAGAUUUCAGAUUCAGAAUGUUCUCUAAUAGAAGUAGAAUCCCUUCCAACACAAGUUGAUCAUCCUUCUACCUUUGAGCCAGAAAUCACACAUGAAGCAUCUGAAAAGACUGGAGAUUCUGUUGAUGUAGCUGAAAUGGAGCAAGUGAGUGAGGAUGAGAAUCCAAUGGCUGAUCAAUCAACUCAAAUGGAGGGGCACAACGGAUUUGAAGCACAAUUAUCCCUCUUGAGGAGGAACCUUUGGCUGAGUCUACUUCAAAGGUUAGACAAUUAUCCCUCUUGAUACAACGUUUACUUCCAUUCAAUUAAAAAAUCAAUAUUAUUUCUGCUCUCUCUCUCUCUUACAAACCGGCUAUGAGUGGUCUUUUGUCUUGAAGAAGCUAUCUUCUUAGCCUUAUAGAGUCUUAUUUUUUUAUUAAAAAUAUUAAUUAUUAAUUUUUUUUAAUCAAAGGAACCAAACUCAAUUUUUUUUUUCUUUUUUUUAACCACUCAACUAACAUUUUUCAUCUUUCUUAGCCUUAUUGAGACUAGUAGGUAAGUAACAGUAACACUAACAAGAAGUAAGAAUAAGAGGAGUGUCACGUACUCAGAUAGCUGUGUCCAAAACACUUACAAUGGUGCUUUAAUUUCUUGGUGGCUUUUGUGAAAAGUUUCAGGAGUUGCUUAGUCAGUGGUUAAGACAGAUAGAACUGAGGUAGAAACGUAUUCUUAGUUGCCCUGUGCCUGCACCUCUUCUUCCUUGGACUGAUCGUAUCUUCUCACUCUGAUGCACCCACCAACCAGCCAAAGUCUUCGGAGUGCCCUCCUGAGCAGAAACCUUUGGCUGUGUUUGGACAUCCAUUCUCACUUUUCAGCCUCAACCGAACUGAAAUGGACAAGGAAGGUGAUGACGUUAAUUCUGUUGGACAAAGCUCAUCAUUGGACACAGUUGAAGUUGAAGGAUAUCAAGUAAGGCCAGAAUUGGAGUCCAUAGUAAGAAAAUUUCUCGUUAAGCAUGGAGACAUUUUUCAGAAUUGUAUGGUAUCGACAAUGAUAUUCCAUUCAAUGUUAUUGGAGAUGAUAUGUGACAUCAUCUCAGACUUGCAAGACAAUAAUCUCUAUGAAAUCACAGAAGAUAAGCUACAUAGCAUGAUUACUGUUGCAAAUGAUAUGAAAGUGAACAUUGAGUGUCUACACUUGAAAUUGAAAGAGAUUCUUGAGGCAAAGCAGACUCUUGAUCAAUAUGCCAAGCUAGAAGAGAAAAAACAUAUCAGCAAAAAGAUCGUUGAAACUGUCAAGAGACUGCUUGACAGUAAAAUGAAAAUGUAGUGGCAGCAAAGUUCCAAAUAUUAUGUGAUAAAGAGACUGCUUGCAAGGAGUCACUGGUUAGAGCAGAGGAUGAUUAUUCCAAGAUAUCUCAAACUUUCACAGAUGCUAGAUCUAAAGUGAGACAAUUCGCUAAUUGCUCUCUGGCCGAUGGUUUGCUUUAGAUCUGCCAUUUCUUCUCCCCCUUUUUGCUUUCGCUCAUUAUUUGCACAUUGAGCUUUAUCUUGAGUAUGUAUACAUAUGCCACUAUUAUUUAGCUUUGUAAGUUUCUAUUUGAGGUUUACCAAGUGCUGUAGAAAUAUGUUUCAAUUUGUUGAGUAAUGACCAAUUCCACAAAUUAAAA